rnacentral:rRNA from 1 species
ACAGGCACCGGUCUUGCCCGGCCCUUAAUAUACAAUGCUUUUUAUGCAUCACGACAGCCAGAUUUGUAACCUGGCACUCGAGGUCCCCUUAUCGCCGUUGCCGGCAUUGUAAAGUUUUCGCGCCUGCUGCACCCCGUAGGGCCUGGAUUCGUGUCUCAGAAUCCAUCUCCGGGCUCUUGCUCUCACAACCCGUACCCGUCGUAGGCUAGUAGGUACGCUACACCCACUACUACCUGAUAGGCCGCAGACCCAUCCUCUGGCGCCGGAGCUUUCGAUCUCGGGGCAUUCCAGCGACCGAGAUCUAUCGGGGAUUAUACCCAGUUUCCCGGGUUUAUACCCGUCCGGAGGGUAGGUUGUCCACGUGUUACUGAGCAGUACGCCAUGUAUUGCUACAUUCGACUCGCAUGGCUUAGUCGAACCUCGAUAACAGUGACGGCCACAGGAUCACCCU